UACAGAGGGGGCGAGCGUUAAUCGGAAUUACUGGGCGUAAAGCGCACGUAGGUGGCGACGUAAGUCGGGUGUGAAAGCCCCGGGCUCAACCUGGGAAUUGCAUUCGAGACUGCAUUGCUGGAGUACGGAAGAGGAGGGCGGAAUUCCCGGUGUCGCGGUGAAAUGCGUAGAUAUCGGGAGGAACAUCAGUGGCGAAGGCGGCCCUCUGGUCCAGUACUGACACUCAAGUGCGAAAGCGUGGGGAGCAAUCAGG
rnacentral:rRNA from 1 species